rnacentral:rRNA from 1 species
UGCCAGCCGCCGCGGUAAUACGGAGGGUGCAAGCGUUAUUCGGAAUUACUGGGCGUAAAGCGCACGUAGGCGGCUUCGUAAGUCAGGGGUGAAAUCCCACGGCUCAACCGUGGAACUGCCUUUGAAACUGCAAAGCUUGAAUCCUGGAGAGGGUGGCGGAAUUCCUGGUGUAGGAGUGAAAUCCGUAGAUAUCAGGAGGAACACCGGUGGCGAAGGCGGCCACCUGGACAGGUAUUGACGCUGAGGUGCGAAAGUGUGGGGAGCAAACAGGAUUAGAUA